CGGUGCCAGCAGCCGCGGUAAUUCCAGCUCCAAUAGCGUAUAUUAAAGUUGCUGCAGUUAAAAGCUCGUAGUUGAAUUUCGGGACCAUCAUGUCGGUCGUGCCUCGGUACGUACUGGUAUUGUUGGUUCCUCCCUUCUGACGAACCAUGAUGUCAUUUAUUUGGUGUCGUGGGAAUCAGGACUGUUACUUUGAAAAAAUUAGAGUGUUUAAAGCAGGCUCACGCUUGAAUACAUUAGCAUGGAAUAAUGAAAUAGGACGUUUGAUUCUAUUUUAGUUGGUUUCUAGGGAUCGACGUAAUGAUUAAUAGGGAUAUUGGGGGCAUUAGUAUUCAAUUGUCAGAGGUGAAAUUCUUGGAUUUAUUGAAGACUAACUACUGCGAAAGCAUUUGCCAAGGAUGUUUUCAUUAAUCAAGAACGAAAGUUAGGGGAUCGAAGACGAUCAGAUACCGUCGUAGUCUUAACCAUAAACUAUGCCGACUAGGGAUCGGAUGAUGUUAAUUUUUUUAAUGACUCAUUCGGCGCCUUACG
rnacentral:rRNA from 1 species